GCUUCUUUCCCUUGCUCACCUGGACCUGAAGUGAUGGGGGAGGUGUAACAAUGCAGUGGGAAUGCCGAAGUGUGUCUCAGCCGUGCCUUUCACAUUCCAAACAAUGCAAAAGCUUGAAGAAAACCUCAGCAGUUGAAACCGUGAUGCAGUUCAGCAAAGAAGUAGCUCCUGUCCUGGUAAAACAGUGAAGUUCUCACGGACGACCUCAUUGAAUCCCUUCCGUAGCUGUCAUACAGAGUGUGAUUUAUGACUUGUAAGUUGUGCUAUGGAGCUUGACAACCAAACCUUCAAUACAUUUAUGAAGAGGGCACUAGUGAGACUUUAUACAAUGGAAUAAAAUAACAAAAUGUGCUGACAGCAUUUUUCCACUCAAAGAGGUAUAUAUAUUUUUUAUACUAUCUAAUUCUUUAACUAACUUUAUUUUUUUAGCAUCCAGUGGUGGAGAACAUUACUGGAAGUGUGAUUAAGGCUAUUAUAAGAUACAUAAACUGUAUGGCAUAAGCAUUUUCAACUCAACUUCACACUCUACAUUGUUUAUGAACUUAGUAUGCCAGCUUUUUAAGUGUGGUGGGAUCUGGUAUUCCACACUUAUAUGUCUCUGAAUCCCACCCUUGUACUGAUGCCAAGAUGAACUGAAGCAAGGAUGAAUUUUUCUCUUACAUAGAAACAUGAAUAUAUUCCGAACUGGAGUGAGCUCUCACUAGCGGUUUGCCUAUGGUGAUUACUUUGUGCCUUGUAAUGGGUCAUGUAGUAUCCUCAUAAGGGAGUGUCUGUGUCCUAGACCCUCUCCCAUUCCAGUACCUGUAAAUGUCACCUUAUUUUGAAAUAGGAGCUUUACAGAUAUAAUAAAGUUAAAGAACUCAGGGUGAGAUCAUCUGAAUUUAGAGUGAGUCAUGGGUAGUUGGGACACAGAAACACAAGCAAGGUCAUGUGAAGAUAGAGACAAAGGUUAGAGUUAUGCUGUCACAAGCCAAGGAGUGCCAGGAGCCACCAGAAGCUAGAAGAGGCAAGAAAGGAUUCUUCCCUAGAGGCAUCAGAGGAAGUAUGCCUCUGCCUCCACCUUGAUUUUGGUCUUCUGGCCUCCUAUAAUUGAGAGAGAAUUUUUUGUUUGUUUGUUUGUUUGUUUUACUAUUUUAAGCCACAAAUUUUGUAGCAAUUUCUUUUGGCAGCACUGGGAAACUAGUUAAUGCCUCUAUUAUUUGGUUAAACAAAAAACAUUAUUAAGUAUUUUUAAAACAAUGUAUAACAGUGUUGAUUAUGGUAAGCAUACAAUUUAUAAUUAGAUAGGUUUCUGUGUAAAAUUUCAUGUUACUGUAUUGAUUUGUUUUAACCACACAAGACUUGCUUGGAUGUGGUACUAUUGAAUACCAUCCCCAUUCCCUCCUGUCCCACAGCUUUUUGAAAUUUAUGGGGCUUUGUUCUAGACUGAAUAUUCCUUUUCCUUCAAAUUUCAUAUGUUAAAGCCCUGCCCCACAAUGUGACAGUAUUGGGAAGUGAGGCCUUUGAGAAUUAAUUAGGUUUAGACAAAGUCAUGAGUGUAGGGCCCUCUUCAAUGGAAUUAGUGUCCUUAUAAGAACAGGAAGAGAGUCUAUAGAGUGCUCUCUCUCUCUCUUUCUCUAUCUGCUGUUUGAGGAUACAGCAAACCGGGAAGAAGACCCUUACCAGGAAACAAAUUUGCUAGUACCUUAAUCUUGCACUUUCCAGCUUCUACAAUUGUAAGAAAUGUCUGUUGUGUAAGCCAUUCAGUCCAUAAUAUUUUGUUAUAGAAGCCUGGACUGACUGAUAUAGGCUGGAACAUGCUGGAGAGAUGGUACAAAAACUAAUUUUAGAAAAAUAUUUUAAGUUGUAAGAUCUGACGCAAAAAUCACUUAAAUAUUUCCAUUUACAUCACCAAAUUACUCCAUUUACAGUAUCAAAUUAAGGAAAUUUAUGUUUUAUUCAAGCCUUUUAAAAUCAGCACACCCACCUUGCGGAAGUAAUUAAUAACCCAUGAUUAUUAAUUAUGUUUGCCAAGUUAAUUUUCAUCCAGUAUUACUUGCAAGGAAAGUUUGAAAUUGAUGAAUCAUCUUCCUCUUGAGAUGUCACUUGUGGAACUAAAGGCUACCUAUAAUUUCUGUAAUCGUUACUCUUUAAUGGAACUUUAAACUUCUAAGAAAAAUAUUUCAAUAUAUUGUUAAAUUGACUUAAAUGACUAAGAUUGUGGUGGAG
rnacentral:lncRNA from 10 species